rnacentral:rRNA from 1 species
UGGGGAAUCUUGCGCAAUGGGCGAAAGCCUGACGCAGCGACGCCGCGUGAGUGAUGAAGGCCUUCGGGUUGUAAAGCUCUGUGGGGAGAGAAGAAUAAGUGCGGGCUAAUACCCCGCAUGAUGACGGUAUCUCCUUAGCAAGCACCGGCUAACUUCGUGCCAGCAGCCGCGGUAAUACGAAGGGAGCUAGCGUUGUUCGGAAUCACUGGGCGUAAAGCGCACGUAGGCGGAUAGUUAAGUCAGGGGUGAAAUCCUGGGGCUCAACCCCGGAGGGUCGACCGAUACUGGCAGACUAGAGUACAGAAGAGGUAGCUGGAAUUCCCAGUGUAGCAGUGAAAUGCGUAGAUAUUAGGAGGAACACCGAAGGCGAAGGCAGCUUGCUGGACGAGAUCUGACGCUGAAGCACGAAAGCGUGGGGAGCAAAAGGGAUUAGAUACCCCCGUAGUCCCUGAGCGGGCUGGCAAGGCGCAU